rnacentral:rRNA from 1 species
UACGUAGGGUGCGAGCGUUGUCCGGAAUUAUUGGGCGUAAAGAGCUCGUAGGCGGCUUGUCGCGUCGGAUGUGAAAGCCCGGGGCUUAACUCCGGGUCUGCAUUCGAUACGGGCAGGCUAGAGUUCGGUAGGGGAGAUCGGAAUUCCUGGUGUAGCGGUGAAAUGCGCAGAUAUCAGGAGGAACACCGGUGGCGAAGGCGGAUCUCUGGGCCGAUACUGACGCUGAGGUGCGAAAGCUAGGGUAGCAAACGGG